AGCGAACGCUGGCGGCAGGCUUAACACAUGCAAGUCGAGCGGGCAUCCUUGUGGUGUCAGCGGCAGACGGGUGAGUAACGCGUGGGAACGUGCCCUUCGGUUCGGAAUAACUCAGGGAAACUUGAGCUAAUACCGGUUACGCCCUUUUGGGGAAAGGCUUGACUGCCGAAGGAUCGGCCCGCGUCUGAUUAGCUGGUUGGUGAGGUUACGGCUCACCAAGGCGACGAUCAGUAGCUGGUCUGAGAGGAUGAUCAGCCACACUGGGACUGAGACACGGCCCAGACUCCUACGGGAGGCAGCAGUGGGGAACAUUGGACAAUGGGGGCAACCCUGAUCCAGCCAUGCCGCGUGAGUGAUGACGGCCUUAGGGUUGUAAAGCUCUUUUCUCCGGGACGAUAAUGACGGUACCGGAGGAAUAAGCCCCGGCUAACUUCGUGUCAGCAGCCGCGGUAACAC
rnacentral:rRNA from 1 species